rnacentral:rRNA from 1 species
AUGGUUAAGUGACUAAGCGUACACGGUGGAUGCCUAGGCAGUUGGAGGCGAUGAAGGACGUACUAACUUGCGAUAAGCCAUGACGAGACAGUAAGAGUCGUUAUCAGUCAUGGAUUUCCGAAUGGGGCAACCCACUCUGUUUACAGAGUAUCCGGCACUGAAUAUAUAGGUGCUUGGAGGCAAACCCGGAGAACUGAAACAUCUAAGUACCCGGAGGAAAAGAAAUCAACCGAGAUUUCCCUAGUAGCGGCGAGCGAACGGGAAGCAGCCCUUAAGCUGACAAUGCGUUAACAGAAUCUGUUGGGAAGCAGAGCCAUAGACGGUGAUAGCCCGGUAUGUGACGGCGCAUAGUGAGUGAAAACGAGUAGGUCGGGACACGUGUUAUCUUGACUGAAUAUGGGGGGACCAUCCUCCAAGGCUAAAUACUCCCAACUGACCGAUAGUGAACCAGUACCGUGAGGGAAAGGCGAAAAGAACCCCGGCGAGGGGAGUGAAAUAGAACCUGAAACCGUGUACGUACAAGCAGUAGGAGCCUCCUUGUGGGGUGACUGCGUACCUUUUGUAUAAUGGGUCAGCGACUUAUAUUUUGUAGCAAGGUUAACCGUAUAGGGGAGCCGUAGGGAAACCGAGUCUUAACUGGGCGUCGAGUUGCAAGGUAUAGACCCGAAACCGGGCGAUCUAGCCAUGAGCAGGUUGAAGAUUGAGUAACAUCAAUUGGAGGACCGAACCCACUAAUGUUGAAAAAUUAGGGGAUGACUUGUGGUUAGGAGUGAAAGGCUAAUCAAGCCCGGAGAUAGCUGGUUCUCCCCGAAAUCUAUUUAGGUAGAGCCUCGGAUGAAUACCUACGGGGGUAGAGCACUGUUUGGGCUAGGGGGUCAUCCCGACUUACCAACCCCAUGCAAACUCCGAAUACCGUAGAGUACUAUCCGGGAGACACACGGCGGGUGCUAACGUCCGUCGUGGAGAGGGAAACAACCCAGACCGCCAGCUAAGGUCCCCAAGUUAUGGCUCAGUGGGAAACGAUGUGGGAAGGCAUAGACAGCUAGGAGGUUGGCUUAGAAGCAGCCACCCUUUAAAGAAAGCGUAAUAGCUCACUAGUCGAGUCGGCCUGCGCGGAAGAUGUAACGGGGCUAAGCCAUACACCGAAGCUGCGGCAGCGCAUUAAUGUGCUGGGUAGGGGAGCGUUCUGUAAGCGGAUGAAGGUGUGUUGAGAAGCAUGCUGGACGUAUCAGAAGUGCGAAUGCUGACAUGAGUAACGAUAAUGCGGGUGAAAAACCCGCACGCCGGAAGACCAAGGUUUCCUAUCCCAUGCUAAUCAGGGUAGGGUAAGUCGGCCCCUAAGGCGAGGCGGAAACGCGUAGUCGAUGGGAAACAGGUUAAUAUUCCUGUACCGACAUGUACUGCGAUGGGGGGACGGAGAAGGCUAGGUGGGCCAGGCGUUGGUAGUCCUGGUGAAAGUUAGUAGGCUGAGGGUUUAGGCAAAUCCGGACCCUUAAGGCCGAGAAACGAGACGAGUACCUACGGGUACGAAGCCAUUGAUGCCCUGCUUCCGGGAAAAGCCUCUAAGCUUCAGGUACAUGUUGACCGUACCCGAAACCGACACAGGUGGUCAGGUAGAGAAUACUAAGGCGCUUGAGAGAACUCGGGUGAAGGAACUAGGCAAAAUAGUACCGUAACUUCGGGAGAAGGUACGCCACCUUUGGUGAAGACUUCGCGUCGUAAGCUGAAGGUGGUCGCAGUGACCAGGUGGCUGGGACUGUUUAUUAAAAACACAGCACUCUGCUAACUCGAAAGAGGACGUAUAGGGUGUGACACCUGCCCGGUGCCGGAAGGUUAAUUGAUGGGGUUAGCGUAAGCGAAGCUCUUGAUCGAAGCCCCGGUAAACGGCGGCCGUAACUAUAACGGUCCUAAGGUAGCGAAAUUCCUUGUCGGGUAAGUUCCGACCUGCACGAAUGGUGUAACCAUGGCCACGCUGUCUCCACCCGAGACUCAGUGAAAUUGA